CAAAAAUCCAUAAAAUUAUAAAUCCAUAACACAUAAAAGAUUAAAUUAUAAAUCCAAACACAACAUAUUAAGUCAUUAAAUCCACUGUCUAGUGUCUACACACAGGACAUAGCACAUUAUUGCAUAAAAAAUCCAUUGCCCAUUGUCCACACACUACUAUCACAACAUUACCACAUAAAGUCCGCGCAUUAAAAUAAAACACAACACAUUACAUAAAGUCCAUAAUGGAUUGAAAUCCAUACUACAUAAAAAUAGACCACCACACAACACCACACAAUAAAAUAUAAAGCUAGUUACAGAACAUGCAAAACACAUCAUCGUUAGAGGAGAAGUCUAACAUUUUGAGCCUAUUUGAAACAUGCACAAAAAAGGACAAAAAUGAGCACAAAAAAGGACAAAAAUGACUAAGUCAUCAUUCAAGAAAAAUAAAACCAAACAUAAAGCAAUACUACAUUUUCAACAAUUAAACUUACAUGUGAGACUAGGAGGUAGGAUUAGAACAUGAUAUUGCUAAACGAUGGGUAAUUCCAAUAGGUGG
rnacentral:misc_RNA from 1 species